UACGUAGGGGUCAAGCGUUGUCCGGAUUUAUUGGGCGUAAAGAGCGUGUAGGCGGCUAGAUAGGUCCGUUGUGAAAACUCGAGGCUCAACCUCGAGACGCCGGUGGAAACCAUCUAGCUAGAGUCCGGAAGAGGAGAGUGGAAUUCCUGGUGUAGCGGUGAAAUGCGCAGAUAUCAGGAAGAACACCCGUGGCGAAGGCGGCUCUCUGGUACGUGACUGACGCUGAGACGCGAAAGCGUGGGGAGCGAACAGG
rnacentral:rRNA from 1 species